rnacentral:rRNA from 1 species
AGUGAACGCUGGCGGCAUGCCUAACACAUGCAAGUCGAACGGAAGCACAGUAAGCUCGUGCUCUUACGGGUGGCGGGUGGCGGACGGGUGAGGCAUACAUCGGAAUCUACUUUUUCGUGGGGGAUAACGUAGGACAACAUACGAUAACACCGCAUAUGUCCUACGGCUGAAAGCAGUAGUGCUUGGCGCCUUGCGUGAUUGAUUGAGACGGUGCCGGAUUAGCUAGUUGGCUGGGUAAAGGCACACCAAGGCGACGAUGCGUAGCUGGCCUGAGAGGAUGAUCAGCCACACUGGAACUGAGACACGGUCCAGACUCCUACGGGAGGCAGCAGUGGGGAAUAUUGGACAAUGGGCGCAAGCCUGAUCCAGCAAUACCGCGUGGGUGAAGAAGGCCUUCGGGUUGUAAAGCCCUUUUGUUGGGAAAGAAAAGCAGCAGGUUAACACCCCGCUGUUCUGACGGUACCCAAAGAAUAAGCACCGGCUAACUUCGUG